GUCUAGCCUGAGUAGUAAGGUAGAAUUGGGGUCAUGAGGAAGCAUUAAAGAACUUGAGGUAUGUUGUGUUUCCUGUGUGUUAUACUGCACCUGGGCUGGCUCAUUCCUUCCUUGUGACCCUUCUGUAAGGGGAUGUCCAGUUGUCUACAGAUGGGCUUUGGGUCCCCACACUCACAGCAAACUCAGGAUUCCUCUGGAGUGAUCCUUCUGAUAUUUAUUGAGACUUUACUUAUAGCUGUCCACAUGUGGCUUCUCUUGAAUGUUUAUGCUGGUGCUUAAGGAGACCUGCUUUGCGGGUAAAGUCUCGCCCACACUUGUUGCACACAUGUAGCCUCUCCCCCGAGUGGAUCCUUUGAUGUAAGAUGAGAAGACACUUCUGGAUAAAGCCUCGCCCACACUCCUCACAGACAUGUGGCUUCUCCCCAGAGUGCAUCUUCUGAUGAUUGAUGAGUUUCCCCUUGCACCUAAAGCCUUUCCCACAUUCCUUGCACAAGUAAGGUUUCUCACCCGAGUGUAUCCUUUGGUGUGCGAUGAGAUUUGCCUUGCAGGUAAAGCCGUGUCCACAUUGCUCACAAACAUUUGGCUUUUCCCCUGAGUGCAUCCUCUGGUGUCUGAUGAGAGCUGAACUGCAGGCAAAGCCUCGCCCACAUUGCUUGCACAGGUAAGGUUUCUCACCUGAGUGUGUCCUUUGGUGUAUGAUGAGAGUUGACUUGCAACUAAAGCCUCGCCCACAUUCCUUGCACACAUGUGGCUUCUCCCCUGAGUGCAUCCUCUGGUGUGCGAUUAGAGCUGACUGCCAGCCAAAGGCUCGUCCACAUUGCUUGCACACGUAAGGUUUCUCACCCGAGUGCAUCCUUUGGUGCGUGAUGAGAUAUGACUUGCAACGAAAGCCUCGCCCACAUUCCUUGCACAGGUAAGGUUUCUCACCCGAGUGUGUUUUUUGGUGUUUGAUGAGAGUUGACUUGUAGCCAAAGCCUCGACCACACUCCUUGCACACAUAUGGCUUCUCUCCUGAGUGCAUCCUCUGGUGUUUCCUGAGAGUUGACUUGCAGCCAAAGCCUCGUGCACAUUGCUUGCACACGUACGGUUUCUCACCUGAGUGUAUCCUUUGGUGGGCGUUGAGAUUUGACUUGAAGCAAAAGGCCCGCCCACAUUGCUUGCACAGGUAAGGUUUCUCACCCGAGUGUGUCCUUUGGUGUCUGAUGAGAACUGACUUGCAGGGAAAACCUCGUCCACACUCCUCACAAACAUGGGGCUUCUCCGCUGAGUGUGUCUUCUGAUGUAUGAUGAGGCGUGACAUUUGGUUAAAACCUUGUCCACACUCUGUACACACGUGUGGCUUUACUGAGUGUGUCCUUUGGUGUGUGGUGAGAUUUGACUUGGCGGUAAAGCUUCGUCCACACUCCUCACAAACAUGUGGCUUCUCCCCUGAGUGUGCCCUCUGGUGUACGUGGAGAUUUGAGUUGUAGCGAAAGCUUCGCCCACACUCCUUGCACACAUACGGCUUCUCCCCUGAGUGCGUCCUCUGAUGUCCCCUGAGACUUGACUUACAGCCAAAGCCUCGUCCACACUCCUCACAAACAUAUGGCUUCUCCCCUGAGUGUGUCCUCUGGUGUCUGAUGAGAUAUGACUUGCAGCUAAAGCCUCGCCCACACUCCUUGCACACAUAUGGCUUCUCCCCCGAGUGGGUCCUCUGAUGUGUCCUGAGACUUGACUGGCGGCCAAAACCUCGUCCACAUUCCUUGCACAGGUAAGGUUUCUCACCUGAGUGUGUCCUCUGGUGUCUAAUCAGACUUGACUUGGAGGGAAAAAGUCGUCCACAUUCCUCACAGACAUGUGGCUUCUCCCCUGCGUGUGUUCGUUGGUGUGUGAUGAGAUUUGUCUUGCAGGGAAAGCCUCGUCCACACUCCUUACAAACAUGUGGCUUCUCCCCUGAGUGUGUCCUCUGGUGUCUGCUGAGAUUUGACUUCCAACAAAAGCCUCGCCCACACUCAUUGCACUCAUACGGCUUCUCCCCUGAGUGCAUCCUCUGGUGCGUAAUAAGAUUUGAUUUGUAGCUAAACCCUUGCCCACGCUCAUUACACACAUAAGGCUUCUCACCUGAGGAUGUCUUUUGGUGUUUGGUGGGUGAUGGCUUGUAGCUAAAGCCUGGCCCAGAUUUGUCACACACAUUAGGUUCUGCCUGUGCACAUGUCCUCUGCUCCAUAAGGACAAGUGAUUCCUGGUUAAAGCCUUGGCAGCACUCACGGUAUAAAUGUGUUUUCUCUGCUGCAUGUGUCCUUUGCUUUGCGGUAAAUUUUGAAUUCAGGCCAAUGUCUGCCUCAUUGUCUCUACAAGUGAUUGCUCCAAAUCUUGAGGUUUCAACUUCCUUUAACCCUUUGUCCGUUUCCAUAAAGGUAUUGACCCUUUGGAAUGAGUCGGGCUCCAUUGCUACCAAUGUGCUGUUGCCUUCUCCCGAGUUUGCUGACUGUCUUCGGGCUGGACUAGAGGAUGCCCUUAAGGUCUCUCUCUCCCCUGUGCCCCCACACAAGGGGUUGGAGAUAUCUUUUAUGUCCCAACCUUGUGUGUUUUCACUCUUGCAACUCUCAUCAGAAUGGUGCUGCUCUGGCUGCCUCUGGGGCUGUGGGCUGGCAUCCCCUGGAUGGAAGUGAUCGUCUGCACACAAGGCUGGGAAGAUCUGAAGCACGUGCUGCCCGAGGAACUGCUGACAGGAGAAAGCCAGGAGGCAGGAGGAACAGGGGGAGGUUUCUGAUUUGGGUUCUGCAGGAGAGAGAGUUUUGUGUUAGAACAGCUAUGAGUGCGGCUUCCCGGGCAGUGCUGCCUUCUCGUAUGACAGACAGAAUCUCACUGCUGGAGUCCCUUGGGGGUACACACAGUUGUGCACCUGACUGGGACCUGAAAGGGUGCUGACUCACAAGACAGCCUGGUGACAUGCUGGCAAUCUGAUAGAAGGAUAUAGGAUGGAACGGCUCUAAGCUACUCUUCACCCUUGUGUUCACCAUGAGCCAGAGUCCACUUGAUGGCAACCAACAACAAUCUUAAUAGCACAUUUAUAACAGACAAUAUAGACAACAUAUCUUUUCCCCAUCAAGCAUUUAUUUUUGUUCCCUUUGUAAAAAUUACACUUUCUAAUGUAAUCUAGAAGACUCCAGGUGUGGCAGUGGUUGCAGCCCUUGGAAGCAAUCUAGAAAGUUGAUGGUACAAACCUGCCAAGAGCUCAAUGGGGCAGUAGUCUAUUCUAGAAGGGCACAGGGUAGAAAAACAAUAUGGAACUCUGUAAUCUACUCUUAACACCUGGGGUGACCAGGAGUCUGAAUUCACCUGAUGGCAACUAAUGAUGAUUUGACUGCCACAUUUCUAAUAAUAUAUACCACGAUAGAUAGGUUUCCCACUAAAAGUUCAUUCAUGGUCCAACUUUAUCAAUCACAAGAUGUACUGCAAUCCAAUAGGGAGGAUGGUGCAGGACCAGCAGUGUUUCGUUCUGUUGUGUCUACAUCCGCUGUGGGCCAGAACUGACUCCACGUGCCUACCCCGACAACUGCACUCCAGAAGGACUCCCAGCACUUCACUGAUGAAAGCACUCUGAUGUACUGUACUCCCAAAGUGGGUGGUUCGAACCUAUCCUAUCGAGAACUCAAUUUUAGAACAGUCUGCUUCUAUAAAGAUUUAAAACAUUAAAAACUCGAUGUGACAUUUCAUCGUGUUUUAUAGGACAAGAGAACCCAUAUCCAAACCCUCUUCAACAGUCAAACUAGAAUUUCUCAAGCAAGCAUCCAACGAUACUGUGCUUCUGCCUGCUGACCAGCCUUUCCUUCUACUCACACCUCUGAGCCAGACACUCACUUUGAUAUAGUCUCCUCAACAUUUUGCUCCCACUUGGAAUAACAGUGUCUAUGACCACUGUGGAGGAGCCCAAGUGGCAGAGUGGAAACAUGACAACAGAUUAGAUAAAACAAACAAACCACGGUUGAGACACUAAGAAAACUGUAACCAGUGUCACUGAGCAAGCUGUGUACAAACCACUGAGUGAGAACUUAACCUGCUGUGGACAUUUUCACUUAACAGUCCCAAAAUUUUCAAACACCUCCCCCGCCCCCAAAAAAAAAAAUUGAAGAGAGUGACAUUAUCUGUCAUUUUGUUUGAGCCAAAUUACUCCACUGUACUAUGCUGCCCAUAUCGUAGUGAGGACUAUCAUCUUUUUUCUUUGCAGCCAGGCAUCAUCCAGCUGUAAUGUCAUCUUAAAGGACGGAGUGAGUUGGCUCCUGGAGACAGUAGCUGCACACUCCACUUAUCCUAAUCUCCACUCCACCUCCUUCAUCCAGAACUGAGACCAACUGUCUGCUCUCAUGGCCAACUGCAAGCUCUGAAGACCCUAGGCACCACUCGGGGAACGUGGAAGUAGAAGAGAAGCACUAGACCUGUCCCUUUGACCCAGCUAAAUGAGUUAACAAAGAGAAAGAUCUGUUAGACGUGCAGAGCCCAGAACCCCGCGGAGCAAGGCCGGCAGCCUGCAGCAUGGACUCGGAUUCCGGGGAGCAGAGCAGCAGAGCGAGGGCGAGACGGGGACCGCCACAGGUCGAGUUUCCCAUGGCAGCAUUCCUAAGGGCAGCAGCAGACAUUUCUUCUGUUUACAAAGCUUACUCUGCCCUUCUUCCCGCCUGAUUGAGUGACGUCAGCAUCAGCUCACAAAAGCUGGUGCCAAGCCCAUUGGAAUUAUCAACACCAACCAGAAAGAUACCUGGAAACCCUCCUGUCUACAAGAGUCACAGACAUCCCAAAGACUUACAAUACCAGAAUUGACCUUUUGUUCUCUCUCUUGCCUCUGGCUCCUGCUCACUACCUGAAAUACUGGCUCUGGCUCCCGUUGGGACUCUUUUUGCCUUUCCUUUUUCUGCCAGAUCCCAAAGCAAAAGGGGUGGCUGUGACAUUGAAUGCUUUUCUCGCCAGACUCUUGUAAUUUGUCAUUGGGUCUGUAUUAAACCUAUUUCCCCUUUAUGUAAUAGGGGCUCUCAUGGACUUUAUACCUCUUAAGUUAGCGAAUUCUCUGGCUUUAGAUAAAGGGCCAGCUCUAAUCUUUAUCUGGUGAUUCUAAACUCCUUUCACUUCAUUUCCUUUGAUUUUCUGUUCCCUACACACUUCACCUUCUAUUAAUUAAAGGUAUCUGUUUCUUCUCAGAAAGAGCUAACAACAGGGGGGAGGGGGAUCAAUAAAUUUAAAUUAUGUAAA